rnacentral:rRNA from 1 species
GAUGAACGCUGGCGGCGUGCCUAAUACAUGCAAGUCGAGCGAAUGGAUUAAGAGCUUGCUCUUAUGAAGUUAGCGGCGGACGGGUGAGUAACACGUGGGUAACCUGCCCAUAAGACUGGGAUAACUCCGGGAAACCGGGGCUAAUACCGGAUAAUAUUUUGAACUGCAUGGUUCAAAAUUGAAAGGCGGCUUCGGCUGUCACUUAUGGAUGGACCCGCGUCGCAUUAGCCAGUUGGUGAGGUAACGGCUCACAAAGGCAACGAUGCGUAGCCGACCUGAGAGGGUGAUCGGCCACACUGGGACUGAGACACGGCCCAGACUCCUACGGGAGGCAGCAGUAGGGAAUCUUCCGCAAUGGACGAAAGUCUGACGGAGCAACGCCGCGUGAGUGAUGAAGGCUUUCGGGUCGUAAAACUCUGUUGUUAGGGAAGAACAAGUGCUAGUUGAAUAAGCUGGCACCUUGACGGUACCUAACCAGAAAGCCACGGCUAACUACGUACCAGCCGCCGCCGUAA